rnacentral:rRNA from 1 species
GACGAACGCUGGCGGCGUGCUUAACACAUGCAAGUCGAACGAAGUGGCGAACGGGUGAGUAACGCGUAAUCAACCUGCCCUUCAGAGGGGGACAACAGUUGGAAACGACUGUUAAUACCGCAUACUGAAGGAGGGGUUUGCGUGGGAUUGGCUAGUUGGAGGGGUAACGGCCCACUAAGGCGAGGAUCAGUAGCCGGGCUGAGAGGAUGAACCGCCAAAAUGGGACUGGGACACGGCCCAGACUCCUACGGGAGGCAGCAGUGGGGAAACUUCCGCAAUGGACGAAAGUCUGACGGAGCAACGGCGCGGGAGUGAUGACGGCCUUCGGGUUGUAAAGCUCUGUUAAUCGGGACGCGGUACCGGAAUAGAAAGCCACGGCUAACUACGUGCCAGCAGCCGCGGUAAUAC